UACGUAGGGUGCGAGCGUUGUCCGGAAUUAUUGGGCGUAAAGAGCUCGUAGGCGGUGUGUCACGUCGGCCGUGAAAACCUGGGGCUUAACUCUGGGCGUGCGGUCGAUACGGGCAUCACUAGAGUUCGGCAGGGGAGACUGGAAUUCCUGGUGUAGCGGUGAAAUGCGCAGAUAUCAGGAGGAACACCGGUGGCGAAGGCGGGUCUCUGGGCCGAUACUGACACUGAGGAGCGAAAGCGUGGGGAGCGAACAGG
rnacentral:rRNA from 1 species